GAGUAACACGUAUCCAACCUGCCGUCUACUCUUGGCCAGCCUUCUGAAAGGAAGAUUAAUCCAGGAUGGCAUCAUGAGUUCACAUGUCCGCAUGAUUAAAGGUAUUUUCCGGUAGACGAUGGGGAUGCGUUCCAUUAGAUAGUAGGCGGGGUAACGGCCCACCUAGUCUUCGAUGGAUAGGGGUCCUGAGAGGAAGGUCCCCCACAUUGGAACUGAGACACGGUCCAA
rnacentral:rRNA from 1 species